GAUAUGUGUUGAAGUGAAGAUUGUAUUUUUAUUUUAGGAGUUUUUUAUUGUAAUUUAGCUUUUGGCCCAUUGCUUAUGCCCAAAUCGGUUUUAUGUGUGUUGGAGGGCUUAAAUUCGGAUUCCCCACUCCAAACACACACACUUUUACUUUUCCUCACUUUGAAACAUAAACACAUUUUCGUUUUCCCUCUUUUACUCUGCUAGGGUUUCAUACUUCUUCUUCAUUUUUCGGUUUGCUUCUUCCACCUCAUGGAAGGCUAAACUUUUAGUUUAAAUUGCUUUGGUAAUGUAUUACAACUCUCGAGGUUUUGUUAUUAAUGCAUUUUCGAUUUCUAACUAUUGAUUUAUGUAUCCUAUUUCUGAAUGUGGUUGCUUAAUCUUAUUGUUU
rnacentral:lncRNA from 1 species